rnacentral:lncRNA from 1 species
CCUCCUUUUCCUUAUACAUUACCCAGUUUCAGGUAUGUCUUUAUCAGCAGCCUGAAAACAGACUAAUACACCUCCCCACAGCUGACUUAGUGCUCUGCCAGUGGGUUACAGUUUUCCAGAAGGAGCUGCAGUCAAGGACUCAGGCCGCCUAGGGCAGCCACCCAUUCCUCACCCAAACACCUCCAUUCAAGGCCUCCUUAUCUUAUGACCAAGAUACUUUCAUCCACUCUGACCCAGUACUUUUCUAGUCCUAGACUUCCCCUACUCCCUUCUGUCAGUCCCCUGGACCAUAAAAUGUCAGGAGUCAUUUGUUCAGGGCUCUUUGGUAGUGAGAUGAUUUUCCCUGUCUGAGCUGAUUCAUCUGACCCUUGCCUACUGCCAUUCCCUGGGGAAAAAAUGGAAUGUUAGGAAGCUGGUGCUUAUUUUUGCCUCUUGUUUACACUAUUUCUGUAAGUGAUUAAGGCUUGAUUGUUAACUUUCAGUUUGGCUUAUUGUUCUGACUGACCACCUAAUCCUGGCCACUGGACAGAAAUUAAGAGCAAAGAAAGUGAUAACCGUUUUAAACAAACAUAGAAUAAAUAAAAACCACAAUAAUAAGGUGGUAUUUGAAAAGAAAACAAGAUGGAAAGAAUAUAUUUCACUGGAAUAGCAUGUGAAUAAGACGUGAAGUUACUGGAAUUAGUGUUCUAAGGUCCUUUUGAAACUGCCUUUGCAAAAUUAUAACAGUAAGAAAAAUCUGACCUAGUUGACUCCAUCUUACUUCUAACCCCAAGCUGUCCUUGGUCAUUCCUGGACAUAGGCCAAGAUAACUUUGAGAGGAAUUUAGUUUACAGUUUAACUUAGAAGCAAGAAUGAUAAUAGUCCCUCCCUGAAACUAACCCUCUCCCUGUUCAAUGGCUGAAACUGCCUUUGUAAGACUAAUGAAAGGCCACAAGAUUAGGAUUAUGGGAGAGGCCCAAGUUCUGCUAAAAUGUAGGCAUAGUUUCUAUAAUUUCUUACUGCUCAGGAGUCAUGUGGCCAGAGGUCCCAAGAUUUAUAACUUCCCCAAUUGCUUCUAUAGGUAUCACUGUUGUAGAACCUAAGACUGGGGAGUUUUUUUUUUUUUAGAUGUUUUUCAGACUGAUCCCAUCUGGACUCAUGACUCAGCUGGUCCUGUGGCUCUGCCCACAGGUGGCCUCACUGCACAAGGACAGUCUUCCAGUGAUGUGAUGGCAUUCCCAACCAAUCAGCUGCACCCAUUCCCUAGUCCCCUGCCCACAAAACUGUCCAUAAAAACCCUAACCUCUGACCCUUCAGGGAGACUGAUUUGAGUGAUAACUCCAGUUCUUCUGCAUAGCUGGCCUCAUGUCAGUUAAACUCUUUCUUUACUGCAAUGCCAUGGUCUCAGGCAAUUGAUUUUGUCUGUGCAGUGGGCAGAAAGAAUAAAUUUAGGAGCUCAUAUGGGAUCCACCCUUGUGGGUGCCUGCUUGCAGUUCAUUGGUUCCCCACAGGUCCGACUGACCUGGAGGUGAGCUCUGACGGCCACUUAUUUCUCCAGAACUGAGGGUCUCUGCUGAUGUCCCUCUGCAGCUGUCCUGCCAGUGAGGCACUGUUGACCCAUCGUGCCUGGGCCUAACUGUCAUGUAGAAAUAGUUUCUGGAAGUCAUCUUUAAACUGGUCUGGGGAGUUCCCUUACACAAGCUCUCUCGCCUGCCGCCACGCAAGACAUGACUCUUUGCUCCUCAUUCGCCUUCAGCCAUGAUUGUGAGGCCUUCCCAGCCAUGUGAAACUCUCGGGAGCCCUCUUGUCUGGAAAGGCUCUUCCCUGCUGGUGCCUCCAGGCUGGGCUGGUUGUUGCUCCUCUAUGCUCCCGAGGUCCUCA